rnacentral:rRNA from 1 species
GCUUUACUGUAGCCUGGAAUUGGGUUCGGGCUUCGCUUGCGCAGGAUAGGUGGGAGGCUUUGAAGCUGCCCUUGUGGGGGUAGUGGAGCCAAUGGUGAGAUACCACUCUGGCGAGGCUAGAAUUCUAACCUUAUACCGUAAUCCGGUUAAGGAACCGUUUCAGGUGGGCAGUUUUGACUGGGGCGGUCGCCUCCUAAAAGGUAACGGAGGCGCGCAAAGGUUCUCUCAGUCUGGAUCGGAAAUCAGCCAUACGAGUGUAAAGGCAUAAGAGGAGCUUGACUGUGAAGACCUACAAGUCGAACAGGAGCGAAAGUCUGGUCUUAGUGAUCCGACGGCAGAGCGUGGAAGCGCCGUCGCUAAACGGAUAAAAGUUA